rnacentral:lncRNA from 1 species
AUGAAGCAAAGGAGAAAAAGAAAUGAAAAUUAACAUUGAGUUUAGGUGGCAUAUGUAUUCCAACAGGGCAUAUGAGGGUUUUAUCAGUAGCUACAGAAACCACUUCCUCUUUUCAGUGUUAGUUUACUAAUCCCUUGAAGCUUGCGUGCACCUUCCACUCCUCACCUUCUGUAGCCACUCACCUCCUCUCACAUCCCACAUUACACUUCUAUGUGCUAUGGGAUCCAUCUAGGCAGUAGUUACUCUUAUUUCAAAACAAGGAUGUUAAAAAUUACUCUACUCAUCAACAAGUGAAAGAUCAUGCCUUGCAGCUUUGUGAGCUGUGCAAGGUGGCUUAGCUUCUUGACUCCGAAGCUUUCCUAAAGUAACAGAUAUUUGCUUACUAUAAAUGCUUCUUGAGUUGCUACAGGGGUAAUUUGCAAAGAGAAAGCAGAGGCUCAGGAUAAUGCUAGAUUUUUCAUGUCUGGGUGGAUAAGAAUCUUUCCUUUUAUGUUUAUAAAAUUAAAAAUUGGGUGCAUUCGGUAUAUGGCAUACUGACAGAGCAUGGGAACUGGACACUGACCAAGGUUUGAAUAGUGACACUGCUAUUUACAAGCUGUGGACUCUCUACAAGAUAAUACAGAUGGGGUUUCACCGUGUUAGCCAGGAUGGUCUCCAUCUCCUGACCUCAGGUGAUCCACCCACCUCAGCCUCCCAAAGUGCUGGGAUUACAGGCAUGACCCGCUGCGCCCAGCCUAUGAGGAUUAUAUUUUUAAGGUCAGAGGACAGAUUUAUUUGCUGACCAGGAUAUCAAAGAUGAGAUGUUUCCAUCUCCUUCCUGGAGACAAUCCGGCAUAAUCAAGAUAUUGUCUUUUCCAGAGGAGAGGUGGAGAGGUUUGCCAGAAAUCCCUGUAUAAAAUUAGGAUAUCCUCAUCUGAGAGUUCCUCAAUUGUGACAGAGAUUCAUGGAGUGAUUAUUAUUUACCUGGGCCCAUGUCUGCCUUGUCCUCUCCUUCUUUCUUUUAAUAUUAUUAAAUAAAUAUUUUCUAUUAUUAUGAACUCCAUGUACAGAUUUUUAUUAGCUAUAAAUAUUUCCUCAUUUACACAAACUGUAAUUUUUUGCCCACACCUAUAUAAUUUUCUGUUUUUCUCUACUACAAAUAUACAUUAAUAAACAUCAUUGUUCUUAAUUUUGUCUGUGUAUUAUAUUAUUUUUAAUAGGAUAGCUGUGCA